rnacentral:rRNA from 1 species
CCUACGGGGGGCAGCAGUGGGGAAUAUUGGACAAUGGGGGCAACCCUGAUCCAGCCAUGCCGCGUGUGUGAAGAAGGCCCUCGGGUUGUAAAGCACUUUCAGUGAGGAAGAACGCCUGGUGGUUAAUACCCAUCAGGAAAGACAUCACUCACAGAAGAAGCACCGGCUAACUCCGUGCCAGCAGCCGCGGUAAUACGGAGGGUGCGAGCGUUAAUCGGAAUUACUGGGCGUAAAGCGCGCGUAGGUGGCUUGAUAAGCCGGUUGUGAAAGCCCCGGGCUCAACCUGGGAACGGCAUCCGGAACUGUCAAGCUAGAGUGCAGGAGAGGAAGGUAGAAUUCCCGGUGUAGCGGUGAAAUGCGUAGAGAUCGGGAGGAAUACCAGUGGCGAAGGCGGCCUUCUGGACUGACACUGACACUGAGGUGCGAAAGCGUGGGUAGCAAACAGGAUUAGAUACCCCUAUAGUC